ACCUUCGGGGUGUAGUGGUCAGCACACUCGACGCAUAUUCGAGAGGUCUGUGGUUUCGAGUCCCUUCAAAGGCA
rnacentral:tRNA from 1 species